AAGAUAUUAGUAAAAUAAUUACAUAACUUUGUCAGGGUUAAUUUAUAGGUUAAAAUCCUUUAUAUCUUA
rnacentral:tRNA from 1 species